ACGAACGCUGGCGGCGUGCUUAACACAUGCCAGUCGAACGGAAAGGCCCUGCUUUUGUGGGGUGCUCGAGUGGCGAACGGGUGAGUAACACGUGAGUAACCUGCCCUUGACUUUGGGAUAACCUCAGGAAACUGGGGCUAAUACCGGAUAGGAGCUCCUGCUGCAUGGUGGGGGUUGGAAAGUUUCGGCGGUUGGGGAUGGACUCGCGGUUUAUCAGCUUGUUGGUGGGGUAGUGGCUUACCAAGGCUUUGACGGGUAGCCGGCCUGAGAGGGUGACCGGCCACAUUGGGACUGAGAUACGGCCCAGACUCCUACGGGAGGCAGCAGUGGGGAAUAUUGCACAAUGGGCGGAAGCCUGAUGCAGCAACGCCGCGUGCGGGAUGACGGCCUUCGGGUUGUAAACCGCUUUCGCCUGUGACGAAGCGUGAGUGACGGUAAUGGGUAAAGAAGCACCGGCUAACUACGUG
rnacentral:rRNA from 1 species